AUUGAACGCUGGCGGCAUGCCUUACACAUGCAAGUCGAACGGCAGCAUGGAAGAGCUUGCUCUUCUGAUGGCGAGUGGCGAACGGGUGAGUAAAGCAUCGGAACGUACCGUGUAGUGGGGGAUAACGUAGCGAAAGUUACGCUAAUACCGCAUACGCACUGAGGUGGAAAGCAGGGGAUCGCAAGACCUUGCGCUAUACGAGCGGCCGAUGUCAGAUUAGCUAGUUGGUAGGGUAAAGGCCUACCAAGGCGAGGAUCUGUAGCGGGUCUGAGAGGAUGAUCCGCAACACUGGGACUGAGACACGGCGCAGACUCCUACGGGAGGCAGCAGUGGGGAAUUUUGGGCAAGGGGGGAAACCCUGAUCCAGCCAUGCCGCGUGAGUGAAGAAGGCCUUCGGGUUGUAGAGCUCUUUCGGCUGGGAAGAAAUCGCACAGGCUAAUACUCUGUGUGGAUGACGGUACCAGCACAAGAAGCACCGGCUAACUACGUGCCAGCCGCCGCGGUAA
rnacentral:rRNA from 1 species